AUGGGCCUGGACCUGGAGUUCCGUUUCCUCCAUGGUGUCGGCUUCCAGAUCCGCGCCCCCAUGGGUUGGACCUGGUGCUCCAUCUCCAUGGCGUCGUCUGCUUCCGCUCGGCCGUCUGCGUCCUUCUACUGCUCGUCGAGCGCGAGCGCCGACGCGGCGGGGCGGGGCUUGCUCGGCCCGUUCGGGCUAGUCAUGCUGGUCGACGAUGGCCUGUCGGAGCAGACCGCUGUCUACUUCUACCUGGUCAAGGGUGCGGACGGGAAGCUCAGCACUCACUUCUGCCAAGACGCCUUCAUGUCAUUGAAGGCGAACAUUCUCGUCAAGGCCGUUUACGGCAGCUUCGUCCCUGUACUUGAUGGAGAAAAUCUGCACGCCCCGAUGCUCCCCUCGGUCUAG
rnacentral:rRNA from 1 species